GGAACUGUCUCCAAGUCACUUAGAAAAUAUUUGGCCAACAUUCCGGGUGAACACGGCAUCAGAAGAUGAAGAACAACAAACUACUACUACACAUAAUCCAGCAGCAGAAGGCAACUUCUGUGAUGAAUGUGAGCUAAUAAAACUACCGUUGUUGAAAAACUACAGUCAGCAUGUGGACUACAUCAACAAAGGUGACAGAAUGGCUAAUACCUGUUCAAUUAGAGAACAUUGAAGUGGCAGAGAAAUGUUUGUACCUGUUGGAUCUAACAAUAUUGAAUAGUUAUAUCAUUCUAGCAUCUUGUAGCAGCCAAAGAGGCCACUAAAAAUAUUGUCUUAUUUUA